rnacentral:rRNA from 1 species
UCUGCAACUCGACUCCAUGAAGUCGGAAUCGCUAGUAAUCGCGGAUCAGAAUGCCGCGGUGAAUACGUUCCCGGGCCUUGUACACACCGCCCGUCACACCAUGGGAGUUUGUUGCACCAGAAGUAGCUAGCCUAACUGCAAAGAGGGCGGUUACCACGGUGUGGCCGAUGACUGGGGUGAAGUCGUAACAAGGUAGCCGUAGGGGAACCUGCGGCUGGAUCACCUCCUUA